rnacentral:rRNA from 1 species
UACGUAGGGUGCGAGCGUUGUCCGGAAUUACUGGGCGUAAAGAGCUCGUAGGUGGUUUGUCGCGUUGUUCGUGAAAACUCACAACUCAAUUGUGGGCGUGCGGGCGAUACGGGCAGACUUGAGUACUGCAGGGGAGACUGGAAUUCCUGGUGUAGCGGUGGAAUGCGCAGAUAUCAGGAGGAACACCGGUGGCGAAGGCGGUUCUCUGGGCAUGUCCUGACGCUGAGGAGCGAAAGUGUGGGGAGCGAACAGG